CCUACGGGAGGCUGCAGUGAGGAAUAUUGGUCAAUGGACGCAAGUCUGAACCAGCCAUGCCGCGUGCAGGAAGACGGCUCUAUGAGUUGUAAACUGCUUUUGUACGAGGGUAAACGCAGAUACGCGUAUCUGUCUGAAAGUAUCGUACGAAUAAGGAUCGGCUAACUCCGUGCCAGCAGCCGCGGUAAUACGGAGGAUUCAAGCGUUAUCCGGAUUUAUUGGGUUUAAAGGGUGCGUAGGCGGUCGGGUAAGUUAGAGGUGAAAUCCCGAGGCUCAACGUCGGAAUUGCGUUUGAUACUGUUCGGCUGGAGUGUAGGUGCGGUAGGCGGAAUGUAUGGUGUAGCGGUGAAAUGCUUAGAGAUCAUGCAGAACACCGAUUGCGAAGGCAGCUUACCAGGCUACAUCUGACGUUGAGGCACGAAAGCGUGGGGAGCAAACAGGAUUAGAUACCCGUGUAGUC
rnacentral:rRNA from 1 species